AGAGUUUGAUCCUGGCUCAGGAUAAACGCUAGCGGCAGGCCUAACACAUGCAAGUCGAGGGGCAGCGGAUGGAGUAUUUCGGUACUCCUGCCGGCGACCGGCGCACGGGUGCGUAACGCGUAUGCAACCUACCUUUAACAGGGGGAUAAUCCGAAGAAAUUUGGUCUAAUACCCCAUAAUAUCAUUUAAGGCAUCUUAGAUGGUUGAAAAUUCCGAUGGUUAGAGAUGGGCAUGCGUUGUAUUAGCUAGUUGGUGAGGUAACGGCUCACCAAGGCUACGAUACAUAGGGGGACUGAGAGGUUUUCCCCCCACACUGGUACUGAGACACGGACCAGACUCCUACGGGAGGCAGCAGUGAGGAAUAUUGGUCAAUGGACGCAAGUCUGAACCAGCCAUGCCGCGUGCAGGAUGAAGGUGCUAUGCAUUGUAAACUGCUUUUGUACGAGGGUAAAUGCAGGUACGUGUACCUGUUUGAAAGUAUCGUACGAAUAAGGGUCGGCUAACUCCGUGCCAGCAGCCGCGGUAAUACGGAGGACCCGAGCGUUAUCCGGAUUUAUUGGGUUUAAAGGGUGCGUAGGCGGAUUAGUAAGUUAGAGGUGAAAGCUCGGUGCUCAACAUCGAAAUUGCCUCUGAUACUGUUAGUCUAGAGUAUAGUUGCGGAAGGCGGAAUGUGUGGUGUAGCGGUGAAAUGCUUAGAUAUCACACAGAACACCGAUUGCGAAGGCAGCUUUCCAAGCUAUUACUGACGCUGAUGCACGAAAGCGUGGGGAGCGAACAGGAUUAGAUACCCUGGUAGUCCACGCCGUAAACGAUGAUAACUCGUUGCAGGCGAUACACAGUCUGUGACUUAGCGAAAGCGUUAAGUUAUCCACCUGGGGAGUACGUUCGCAAGAAUGAAACUCAAAGGAAUUGACG
rnacentral:rRNA from 1 species